rnacentral:tRNA from 1 species
CACUAAGAAGCUAAAUAGGGUAUAAGCGACAGCCUUUUAAGCUGUAGACUGGUGAUCCCCAACCACCCUUAGUGA